UAUCAAGUAACAAUUGCAGUACUGAAACAAAAGGAGGAAACUAUUUUUAAAAUUCAAAUACCACACUGGACUAUCACAGGCUACAUACACUCCAUGUGAGUUGAUAAAGUAGGACUCUCGGAAUAUAGAUAGAUAGAUAAAUAAAGGUAUGGCUAAAGAAAGGGAAAGGAAGGGGAAAGGUGGAGCCAACCAGAGAAGCACAAAGAAGAGAGGUAAGGAGAGGGGAGGAAAAGACUGAAGAGAGACAAGAAGACCUGUACACUGAGAGCUCUAAUAUUCUAUGGCUAUGUAUAAUAUUUUGCAAAGUAAAAUUGACUGAGAUGGAAGCUAUUUUGCAUGGUACAGUGGCGAUGGCUAACAAAUGAGAGUUUUGUGGGCUGAAUCUGAGUCCCCUGCCUCAUCUGCCACCCCUAAUGACAGCAGCCACCUGCUGUUUUAUUGUCACAGCUGGAACCAGUUCACACUCCUUGGUGCUGUGCUCUGCCCAUGAGCACCAAGCUCUCUCCUCGCCUCAUUACUUUGAUGAACUUUUUAUGGUCAGCACCCAUGAAGACCUCAUCUAGGACUCCACGACACAGACUGGCUUCAGGGAGUGCUUUCAGUUUCACAAGGUGGUGACACACAGUGACACUGUGGCUGCAUGAGUCUCAGCCAGUCUAAAAGUGACUGUACUGUACGUUUGACACAACAGGGCCCACUGAACAGGAACUGAACAGCCUAGCUUUGAGGAAAAUGCUCAUCAUAAGAAGACUCUCUGAAUUAACAAAGAGAUAGGCUUAAAAAGAAGGACGGCAGAGCCCCAAAUUCAAAACAUUCUUUAAAGUCAGGCACUAGUGUCAGUGACAGCAAUAUUGUAGUUACAUUUCAGUUACCCUUCCCCCUCCUGUCUCAUUCUCACCUCUGGAAAGAGACAUUAAUAAUUAGGAAAAAAGUAAAAGUCCUAAGCAUUUCCUUCAAGAUACCCCUAAAUUCUAACAUUGAAAGUAAUAAAUGGAACAUCACAGCUUUGGGGAGAUAAACUGUUUAGGCAAUAAAAAAAAAAUAUUAAUCAGGAAAAUCUUACAUGUUGUGGCAAGAAAAAAACUUACUGGUACUAUAAAAAAAAAAAA